rnacentral:rRNA from 1 species
AUUGAACGCUGGCGGCAGGCUUAACACAUGCAAGUCGAGCGAGCGGCGGAAGGGCGAGUAAUGUCGGGGAAACUGCCUGAUGGAGGGGGCUAAAUACUGGAAACGGUAGCUAAUACCGCAUACCAUCAGAUGUGCCCAGAUGGGAUUAGCUAGUAGGUGGGGUAAUGGCUCACCUAGGCGACGAUCCCUAGCUGGUCUGAGAGGAUGACCAGCCACACUGGGACUGAGACACGGUCCAGACUCCUACGGGAGGCAGCAGUGGGGAAUAUUGCACAAUGGGCGCAAGCCUGAUGCAGCCAUGCCGCGUGUGUGAAGAAGGCCUUCGGGUUGUAAAGCCCUUUCGUCGAGGAGGCGGUACUCGCAGAAGAAGCACCGGCUAACUCCGUGCCAGCAGCCGCGGUAAUUC